GGCCAGACUCCUACGGGAGGCAGCAGCCGGUCCUCUUGCACAAUGUCGUCCACUCUGAUUCCUUGACGCCGCGUUCCGUAAGAAGGUUUUCGGAUUGUAACCUGCUUUAGAUGGGGCCGACAAAAGACUUUACCCAUAGAAUACGCUCCGGCUAACUACGUGCCAGCAGCCGCGGUAAUACGUAGGGAGCAAGCGUUAUCCGGAUUUAUUGGGUGUAAAGGGUGCGUAGACGGGCUAACAAGUUAGUUGUGAAAUCCCUCGGCUCAACUGAGGAACUGCAACUAAAACUAUUAGUCUCUGAGUGCGGGAGAGGAAAGUGGAAUUCCUAGUGUAGCGGUGAAAUGCGUAGAUAUUAGGAGGAACACCAGUGGCGAAGGCGACUUUCUGGACCGAAACUGACGCUGAGGCACGAAAGCGUGGGGAGCGAACAGGAUUAGAUACCCGGGUA
rnacentral:rRNA from 1 species